AGCGCUUACUUUGGCAAUAAUUUAAAAUUGCAGACGAACUUUAUAGAAGAUUAGCAUGGCCCCUGCACAAGAAUGACAUACAAAUUGGUGAAGUGAUCUAUAUGUUU
rfam:Otolemur garnettii contig164953, whole genome shotgun sequence.